rnacentral:rRNA from 1 species
AAUAUUGGGCAAUGGCCGAAAGGCUGACCCAGCGACGCCGCGUGGGGGAUGAAGGCCUUCGGGUCGUAAACCCCUUUUCUCAGGGACGAAGAUGACGGUACCUGAGGAAGAAGCCCCGGCUAACUACGUGCCAGCAGCCGCGGUAAUACGUAGGGGGCGAGCGUUGUCCGGAAUUACUGGGCGUAAAGCGCACGUAGGUGGUCCGUCAAGUUCGGCGUGAAAUCUCCAGGCUCAACUUGGAGGGGUCGUCGAAGACUGGCGGACUAGGGUCUGGCAGAGGCAGGUAGAAUUCCCGGUGGAGCGGUGAAAUGCGUAGAGAUCGGGAGGAAUACCAGUGGCGAAGGCGGCCGGCUGGGCCACGACCGACACUGAGGUGCGAAAGCGUGGGGAGCGAAC